CGUAAAUACAAAAAAAACUGUACGAAUAUGAAAACAUUGCCGGUUUACUGUCGAUUUUAAGCCGUCGGAAAAAUUUUUAGUGUCAGCCGUUGCUGGUAUUUGUCGGCGUUGGUCUCUAAGUAAAAUCCAUCCACAAAUUUAUUAAGUGAGGAAGAUUAUACUACUUUUUUUUAAAAUGGGUUCAAAUGAAAGAACAAGGUCACCAAGAGCCGAUGAUAAUGGCAACGAAUCUGUGUCUCCAAAAAAGUUUCGAGUUGAUUCUGGAUUUUUUGUUUUUUUUUUCUUUUCUUUUCUUUUCGCAUAGACAACAUAUAUAAAGUCUUUAAGUUCGAGAAUAUUUGUUGAUUGAGAAUAGCUGGUUGCGGAAUAUUCAAGGAUUCUAUUUGGUUAUAUUAAUUAUUCCUCUUGAGUACAACAAUAAAUCUACUUAAUUAAAUAGGAGUGUUAAUACCAAAUAAUUUGUAGAUUAUUUUUAUUACAAAAACUACUUAAAAAUUUCAAAAUUGUUUCACAUUAAACAUUUAAUAGAAUUGAGUGUAUAAAAAGUAAAAUACAAAAGAAACAAUUUACUUUGCUUUA
rnacentral:lncRNA from 1 species